AGUGCAGUAAUGCAUGUAGGUACUAAGUACUAACGGUUCGAGGGUUUGACCU
rnacentral:rRNA from 1 species